UUCAGCUAAGCACGAAGCAGUGAGAUGGUGUCGCGGGCUGGGUAACGGAAACCGCACAAGGAGCUUAGAAGGACGUGUGGAGAAUGGAGGAGUCCACUGGAUAGAUAGCACCUUGAUCUCGCUUGGUCCCAGUUAGACUCAGCAGGUCACAAGAGAGAACAAAGGACGUAUAAAUGGGAAAGGGUGGAGAGAGGAGGCCAAUUAGAAUGCAUCAUGUACAUACAUGAAAUUGUCAGAGAGCAAAUUUAAUUAAAGAAAAGACGAAUAUGAGAGCCUUGAAGGAAGGAGGUUAAUUGCCCCAGGGGCUUGGGGUAAGGUGUCAGAACCAUGCUUGUGUUUCCAGUGUUAACUGUUCAGAGGCACGAGCAGCAGGGGAGGGAGGCCGGGGUCCUUAACGCACAGCAUCGCUGGGUGUGAGCCGUUCACUCUCGUUCCUUGAACCAGUUAUGCCCUUUGCAGAGUACACUGCUACUUUCCUGGGAUCUCUUUGGGGAAGAACAGUCCAUGUCAGCUCUCUCCUCUUUUCAGGCUUGAACAGCCCAACUUCUUAUAGAACCCAGAACCAGAGGCCCAGGGAUGGCCUUACCCACCAUAGUCUGGGCCCCCCCCCACAUCGAUCGCUAAUUGGGAAACCGCCUUACAGAUGGAUCUCAUGGAGACAUUUCCUCAGCUGAGGCUCCUUCCUCUCCGAUGACUCUGGCUUGUCUCGAGUCGACACACAAAACCAGCCCGCACAGAAGAGUUUACCAGGCUCCCAGUCUGAGCGUACAGUCCGUGAGGCACGGAAGGCGGGUGGCAGCAGUGGGGGGCAUCUGGUCGCAUUAGACCCUCAGUCAGGACGCAGAGAGAGGCGGAUGCUGAUGUCCAGCCCCUGUCACCGAUUUUCUUCAGUUCAGGACAGCAGUGCGUGGGAUGUUGUCACCCAUAUCUAGAGUGGAGAGGAGAGGCCAGGUACACCCUGUAAGUCAGGACAGGACAGAGACAGCCAUGUGAACGAUGCUGAAGUCUCUGAGUCAGAAGAUGCCAACACUGAAGGGACGUCAGAAAGUCAGCACUCGGAUCCGGAUCACGUGUGUCUCAGGGAUGGCUGCGGAAGGUCAGGCUUUAUCACGAGCAUGAACAUGUAGGAGAAGAACAGCAGGCACUUUCACACUGGGAUGUAUAUCCGCGGAUAAGGAGGGCCUGAUGGGGGCCGUGUGUUCUCC